AUGGCCCCCCUCGCUUUGCCAACUGAACUUAUGUCUUUACUAGCCAUUCAUGCGGGGCAAAGGAAGUGUUCUGUCCAAACUCAAGAAAACUGGGUGUUUGCUUUAGAACCUGUCAGAGGGAGUAACA